rnacentral:rRNA from 1 species
CCAGACUCCUACGGGAGGCAGCAGUGGGGGAUAUUGCACAAUGGGGGAAACCCUGAUGCAGCGACGCCGCGUGUGGGAAGACGGUCCUCUGGAUUGUAAACCACUGUCCCCAGGGACGAAAAUGACGGUACCUGGGGAGGAAGCUCCGGCUAACUACGUGCCAGCAGCCGCGGUAAUACGGGGGAUGCGAGCGUUAUCCGGAUUUAUUGGGUUUAAAGGGUGCGUAGGCGGCGCUUCAGGUCAGCGGUGAAAUACCGGGGCUCAACCCCGGGGCUGCCGUUGAAACCGGAGCGCUAGAAUUCCGAUGCCGUCGGAGGAAUGUGUGGUGUAGCGGUGAAAUGCAUAGAUAUCACACAGAACACCGAUUGCGAAGGCAUCUGACGAAUCGGAGAUUGACGCUGAUGCACGAAAGCGUGGGUAUCGAACAGGAUUAGAUACCCCCGUACCC